AUUGAACGCUGGCGGCAUGCCUUACACAUGCAAGUCGAACGGUAACGCGGGGCAACCUGGCGACGAGUGGCGAACGGGUGAGUAAUGUAUCGGAACGUGCCCAGUUGUGGGGGAUAACUGCUCGAAAGAGCAGCUAAUACCGCAUACGACCUGAGGGUGAAAGCGGGGGAUCGCAAGACCUCGCGCAAUUGGAGCGGCCGAUAUCAGAUUAGGUAGUUGGGGGGGUAAAGGCUCACCAAGCCGACGAUCUGUAGCUGGUCUGAGAGGACGACCAGCCACACUGGGACUGAGACACGGCCCAGACUCCUACGAGAGGCAGCAGUGGGGAAUUUUGGACAAUGGACGCAAGUCUGAUCCAGCCAUGCCGCGUGCGGGAAGAAGGCCUUCGGGUUGUAAACCGCUUUUGUCCGGAAAGAAAUGGCUCUGGUUAAUACCUGGGGUCGAUGACGGUACCGGAAGAAUAAGGACCGGCUAACUACGUGCCAGCCGCCGCCGUAA
rnacentral:rRNA from 1 species